rnacentral:rRNA from 1 species
AGGCCGCUGCUAUCCGGCUGGGACUAAGCCAUGCGAGUCAAGGGGCUUGUAUCCCUUCGGGGAUGCAAGCACCGGCGGACGGCUCAGUAACACGUGGACAACCUGCCCUCGGGUGGGGGAUAACCCCGGGAAACUGGGGCUAAUCCCCCAUAGGUGAUGGGUGCUGGAAUGCCCCAUCACCGAAAGCGCUCAGCGCCCGAGGAUGGGUCUGCGGCGGAUUAGGUAGUUGGCGGGGUAACGGCCCGCCAAGCCGAAGAUCCGUACGGGCCAUGAGAGUGGGAGCCCGGAGAUGGACCCUGAGACACGGGUCCAGGCCCUACGGGGCGCAGCAGGCGCGAAACCUCCGCAAUG